rnacentral:misc_RNA from 1 species
ACAAGUCGCAUCGUGUUGCUGUUGCAGUAAAAUAUGAACUUGUUGGCGGUUUAUUGGUUAUGAGUCAAGAAAUUCCCAUAUUUUUUCAUCACAUUUAUUUUUAAUACUACAUUCCAUACGUCGUUAUCAUGGCUUUGGCGUCUAAUGACACAUUUGAAGAAACUGUUAAGUUGAUACAUGAAAAUUGCAUCAAUCGUUUUCAUCCAACAUUACCUGUUUUGGUUUCUGGAUCAACUCACCUGACAUUCUUUGAUGCCAAAAAUGUCAUCACUCAAUUUUCAAAUUGGAAUGAAAGGCAAUGUAAACUCAAAGGGAAUGUUGUAAAACCUAUAUGCUCAAUUGAAUGGAAUGUAGAUGGAACAAAAUUGGCUGCUACAGUAGCUGAUCCUCAUCAGUUAUUUGUGAAUGAUUGUGGUGACGAAAGUGGUGAAAUAAUUGUUUGGAAUUAUCCAACAUGUGAUAUCCUCUUUCAACAGAAGCAAUUCAAAGUAGUCCAUGAAAUUGAAUGGAAUCAAUUUAGACAAGAAGUUUUUGCUACCUAUAAUAUUGGUGACCCACUUGUGUCAUUAUGGACCACCAAAGAUCUGAAAAGAAACCUUUUCUACGUAUUUGAUUUUGAUCGUGAAAAUCGUUUUCGUGAAUUUAUCAUGAAGGUAAAGUGGAUCUCUGAAAGCGAAGUUGCUCUUGGACUCAACAACGGCACGAUUGAGAUUUAUCGAAUUAGUGAAAGCCAUCCUGUGACUGCUCCACAAAUAACGAGAAAAUUAAAACAUGAUCGUGUCGCUAGAGAUAUGAAAUGGAGCUGUACGACGCAAUAUUUAGCCUCUUUUUCAUGGGAUAAUACGAUCAAGAUUUGGUCUGUGGACAACGGUCUUAACGGGGAACUUAUCCACGGAUUACAUGUGAACUCCAGUUGUUACAUUUACAGUUUUGCUUGGCGUACAAACAGGAAAACAUACGCCGAAAUUGACAUAGAAAGAAAAUCACCGGAAAACUUCAUAGUAGCUUGUGGAUUGAGAGACAUCACCCGUAAGAAGUCAUCCAAUGGGUCGACAGGACCGAUUGUUAUCUGGAAUCCUUUAGAAAGAGACGAGUCUAAACAGCAACGAAUCCUUGAAAAGCACAAAUGUUCGGUUUCCUCGCUUGCCUUUUCUCCUGAUGGACAAUUUCUUGCGUCGUCGGAUGCAAUAGAUGUUAUCAUCUGGUCGACCGAGACUUGGAUGCCCGUUUUUGUCUCGCAGUAUAACAAAUUUACUCAAGAUCAGCUCUUGAAAAGUCGGCCUUUGUUCAAUUGUCGGUUGUCUUGGAUGGCCUUGGGCUCAACAACUGCGGGUGUGAACAAAUUGACUUACUCUUCAAUCGAUAAUAAGUUACAGGUCGGCCAGUUUGUCCAGACAGAAUUGAAGGUCAUAAGGAACAUUACGUAAAAUUGGCAUGCGAUGGUGUAGAGGUUGGGUGAGAAUGACACGUGUUUCAUCAUUAUCAAGCAGACCCACCCCCAACAACUUCAUCCUGCAGAAGGAAAGGCCGG